rnacentral:lncRNA from 1 species
GCCUACCGACAUCGGGCAGCACUCCCCGUCUCGCCCGUCCCUCGUCUCACCCGUCUCCCCGCUCCGGCAGAAAGCCGCCGCCGCCACCCCCCAUCUCCGCCGUUGCCGCCGCCGCCGCCGCUCCGAUAGAAAGCCAUGCGACCUCCUCCAAGGAUGCAGGUUCAGAUGCGCCUCCUCUAGCCCUUCUCCCCAUCUCCUCCGAAUCGUCCCCUUCCCCUUCUCACCCCCUCCCCUUUCCUUUCUUGUUAGGGUUCUGCUCCAGCGUCAGCUCGAGUCCUAGAACCGCGGAAUUGCUAGAUCUGCGGACGCGCCGCUGCCUCCUCUGCCUCCGCAUCAGGUGCGUCAGUGUUCCGGUAAUUACUAUGGCAGUUGUAAAGAAGUACUAGUACUAUCAAUCGCUUGUAAUUACUUUGACGGGGACAAAAUUUAACUAUUGUGAUUUUCUUUUUGGCAUUGUGCACUGUUGAUAGUAGAAGACUAUGCAGCGGAAUUGAGGGCUAAUAUUAAAUAGUCAUGCUGAAAAUAGUUCCAUUAGAUGUACACCAUCUUUCGUAAACCCAUGAUGAUCCCAAAGUAGCUAGUCCAUCCUUGUAGUAUCAAUUCAUGAUUCAUGUUGAACUGCACUGAAGAAAGAAACUUCUGGUGCUAUAGUUUGAGGCUCUAAUUAUACUGUUGCAGUGUUGCCUGACAUUCAGUUUUGUUUUUUCAUGGGUUCAGCCAUUCCGUAUUCAAAGAAGAAAGAGACCCCACUUCAUAAUUAUACUCUUAGAAAAGUCUUAUUCCUUUAGUCAUUAGAUCAUUUCUCUGCUCAAGCAUCCUGCAGUAUCUCCUGACUUUUUACUGCUAAGCCACAGAUUUGAAGUGAUCAUGUUAUUCGUAUCACAUGAAAGAGGUCCCACUUCAUAAUUAUACUCUUAGAAAAGACCUGUUCCAUUAGUCAUUAUAUCAUUUCUCUGCUUAAACAUCCUGCAGCAUCUCCUGAAUUUUUACUGCCAAGUGAUGGAUUUGAAAUAAGUGAUCCUGUUAUUCAUGAUUGAACAGCUCUGUUCAUUGUGAUAUAUAAUAUAUUUGAUGUUUUUGUAACUUUUGUACUUGUGCAUAUUUCUGUCAUACUAUAUAUUUCUUGCAUACCUUCUCCAACCUUUAUUUAUAUUUUUAUAUGAUACACUAAAAGUGCUCCCUUAAAUCACAUCUUUAAUAGCAGAAUUGUAGUUUAUGCCAUCAUCUUUUCUGUCCUUUCUGAUAAUUCAUGAUUUAUGAGGUUGUAGCCUUGUAUGAAAUCUUUUAGAACCUAUUUUUUUAAAGACCUAGGCUAUAUGGUGAAAUCCAAGCUGAAAGUUGUUGGUUUUUGAUUUAUUGUUCUAUUUGAUGGGUUACUGUAUUGGUUUGUUAGCCUGAUUUCUCUUAUUGUUCUAUUUGAUGGGUUACUGUACACUAGAUAAUGGGAUCUUGGGAGGAGCAAGUUAGGCAGUUCUUGUUGGAGGAGGAAGAGGAAGAGGAUGAUGAGCUAUUUUUUUACUUGUUCCUGCCAUAAUUCUGUACCUACAAGAAAAAAUACCCGUGCACGCAUCUUCUCUUUCUGGUGCCAAAAAGGUUAAGGAAAUCCUUGAAGGGCAUCCAAG